AGCAGCAGCCGCGGUAAUACGUAGGCCCCGAGCGUUGUCCGGAUUUAUUGGGCGUAAAGCGAGCGCAGGCGGUUAGAUAAGUCUGAAGUUAAAGGCUAUGGCUUAACCAUAGUACGCUUUGGAAACUGUUUAACUUGAGUGCAAGAGGGGAGAGUGGAAUUCCAUGUGUAGCGGUGAAAUGCGUAGAUAUAUGGAGGAACACCGGUGGCGAAAGCGGCUCUCUGGCUUGUAACUGACGCUGAGGCUCGAAAGCGUGGGGAGCAAACAGGAUUAGAUACCCCGGUAGUCCCUGUCUCUUAUACA
rnacentral:rRNA from 1 species